UGUGCUUUAUAGUCACGGGUUGUACUUUAUGUAGAAGAAUAUUAUGUGAAUAUUUACUCAUCCUAAAAUAUUAAAAAUAAGUUUGAUAUUUGUGCCAAAGCUGUUUGUACAGAUAGUGUGUUGUGGGUUUGUAAUGCGCAUUAUUUUGACUGCCCCAUGCCUCAAAGUGAGGUUAUACUCAUUAUUUCAGUUAAUUCGACAUAGCGUCGCUUAUGAAGAAGACAUAGAAGGCUAAAAAACAAAGUUAUCUUCCUCGAGAGUUGUCUAUCUUUGCGGCCUACAGCUUUUUACAGAGUGUGACAAAAUUCCUAACAUCUGUGGAAGGCAGAACAUGGGUAUAAUCAAAAUGGAAAAUGAUGUUGAUGUUGUAAGUGAAAAAGAUCCCACUCGCAUGGUAUCUGAUGAGGUUAAUAUACAAUCAGCGCUUUCCAUAAGGACAGUUGAAACUGAGAUCAUGGAUAUGAAGGUUGAGGAUUUCGCAGGUUCACAAGAAGAGGAGGAUCCUGUAGCAAAUCUUCCAUUAAUAAAGUCAGAACUUGAGGUGAGUUUCACAUUUU